GCUUGGGAAUGCGUAUUUUUAUGAUCGUGGCGCGCCGUGCUACCACGACGUGUCAUUGGUGCGCGCGAUGUUGAGAUCACUGUGUGGUUGUGGUACUGCUUUGUGGAACCUGAGAGGCCACUGGUCAUGCCAACGAGCCGCGGCUGCCCGUGUUCCUUCUCGAAGUAAGCCAGCCGCCGUGGUACGUUCUUACCGGCAAUACCGUGGAAAGACUACAAAGUGAUGAGCUCUACAGAGACAUGCACGACGUCGAUGUCCCUUGCUGCACGUCAGUGCCCAUACUACCACUGCCGUUGCGCGAGGCUUGCGCAGCGGGCAGUAGCGACGUCAUGCCUGCUCCCAAGUGCGCGGCUGUUCUCACCGUUCGAGCGGAAAUUAGGAGAGCGAGAUGUACGUGGCUGCUGCCGACGUGUGGACGUGGCGGGCGUGUUCCUUCGACCCCGGCAAUGGCAUUGUUUGUUACAAGCGAGAGAAGUGGGCCUCGAGCACCUUUGCGGACGGGGAUUCCGGCAGCUGCCUCCAGCCAAUGGUCGAAUUUUCUUUGAAUCCCCAGGGCAGCCGGCGUCUCGCACAAGGCGCAGCGGCCAUGCCUUUUCUAUUUCUUUUCUUCGAAGGAAACAGUUUCUUCCUACUUCCGCGCGCAGUUCACAUCGAGAAAAACAUGAACAGACGGUUCCCUUCUACCUCCUUCUUUACUUUUUUUUGUAUUGUGGACGCUAGAAUUAAAGGGAGCACACGUGG